UAAAGGCUCAGCCAAUAACUGCUCUUCCUCUUCCACACAUGAUUAAAUGUGGUCCUGUCCAUCAACUGGUUCAUAUAUAGUUCAUGCAAUUAAAUGUGAAGCAGUUUAAUAACUUCCGUAGCCAAGCUCCUUUGUGUGGAUGUGCAUGCAUGUUUGUAUGCGUCUGUGUGUGUGAGAGGGAGAGAAACAGUGAGAGAGAGUGGGGCGAGACACAGGGAGGAAAAACAGAGAGUUAGAGUGUGUGUGAAAGAGAGAGACAGAGAGAGAGAGAGAGAGAUAGAGAGAGAGAGAGAGAGAGAGAGAGAGUGGGAGACAGACAGAAAGAGAGAGAGAGAUUGGGCAGGAGAUCAGAAGAUCGGACAGACAUAGUUUGUUAGCGUGUGUAAAUGUGUUUGAGUAUGUGUGUUUGCAUGUGUGGGACAGAGACACGGAGAGAGGGAGAGAGGGAGAGGGAGAGGGAGAGGGAGAGGGAGAGGGAGGGAGGGAGAGAGAAGAACCCAUUCCCCUCAGUUCCACACUAACUUUUCAACGUGUGCACUUGAGGGAAGUUAGCUGUUCCCCGGCUAUGGAACCGUUUUGUCUUUCCUUGUUCUACCACCUAUACACUUUUCGACUUUCUGCAAUAACAUCAACGAGACAAGUAGAGAACUUCAACUGAAUAACUGUCCACUAUUAUUUCACACAGCUGACUGGGAUGUGUAGUGUGUGUGAGGAGGAGAGGAUGGAAUAUGCUGGGGGAGAGAGGGGCGCUGCUCUGGGCUAAGUAAGAGGAGACCUAUGGUCAAGAAGACAGCUCCAGUAUUGGAAGGCGGCUGCAGCCCUCACCAAACAGCUGGGAGUGUUCACGCUUUCAUUAUGCCAAAACAAAAAAGCCUGAAAUAAAGUUUAAACUCAGCAGAUUCACUGUGGCAAGAACAAUCACAGGGUUGGAACAGAGCAACACGUUUUCACACAUUUUUCAGUUUCGGUUCAAGUUGACCUCAAAUAAAAAGUGAAACAAUCAGCA